GGGUUUUGUCCAUGGUUAUGUAUGCUUAUUGAUGUAUAUAUCUUUGAUGACUGAUAACAAUGAAUGGUUUCUGUAUAUGGCUUCCGCUCUGUUUCAAUUUUACGAACUACAGUUAGUCAUUGUCUGUCAAAAUGCCAUGUUUAGUUGAGGUAAUGUAAUGCUAUUCCUUGGUGGUGUUCUGUGUUUUAGGUUUCUCAGCCGUCUUCAUCACGGAGUAUCUGAUUUUUUGACAUCAAAAGGCUCCAUCUGACCUGACACUUGCAUUACUGACUCUUUUUAUUACCAUAUCUGUCAAUGUCCCUAUCUUCAUAUUGUCAGUUUUGUUUGCAUUUGUGAUUUACUUGUACUGUAUAUACUGAUAUUCUAUUAUGGCCGUCAUCAGUGUCAGAAACUUGUGUGCACAUAUAAAUGUUGAUGGUAAUGCAAAUAUCUACGGUUUUUGAAGUGCUGAUGUAAAUAGAUUAGAAAAGGUUGUGGAAACUAUAUUGGAUCCAUUCAAGUAUAUCUGGUGAGAGUGGACACAUUGCUGCUGGAUUCAUGCAAAAUAUCAGGAGCAGCACUAUGGAUUCUACAUCACUCAAGGACUGUCGGGUUUCUGGGGGGCUGAAUCUACAAUAUGUUGUCAUCACAGCCCAUUUUCAAAUUACAACUGGGAAUGGAGAUGCUUUGACGCUCAGCUCCAAACCUGCAAACUGUACUUUACAGAGAGGACAAUGGAGACUGAUGCAAACGUUAAGAGAACUUCAAGCCAACACAAGAUCCCCUUGUUCUUCUACUUCUACUUGUUGCUCUGGCAGCUGUCCUCCUUCUCGAUAAGGA